AAUAUUGCCCUUCCCAGCUUGUGAAUGAAUGGUUCUGAGUAACUUUCCUUUCUCCAGGGAUGUUCAGCUGACUAUGACUUCAGCAAAGGCAGGUUUAUAGGAGCUGUGCAUAAAGUCCUGCCUUGAAGAAUUUUCUCAUUUUUAACCCUCAGGGCAAAUUAAAACCUGAUGUUUCAUACAAUGUAAUGCUUCAUGUGGCAGAACUCUGUCAAAAAGAAGGAGAGAAAAAACAAGGGCUAGGAUACCACUGUGUGCUUUAGAACUGCUGAUCUUUUUGGCCACAAAUGGAAAGGGAACUUUGAUGAUUCUCUUCCUACUUUGGACAGUAUUUGUGGUUUCAGUUUCAUCUUCCGUUAGAAAGCAGUUCAUGCACAUGGAGACAGCGGGUGUGAGGAGAACUGCUGAGUGCGCUGUCAGACUGGAUCCUGCUAUAUAUGGGAAGCGUGAAGUCCCCCAGAGCCACCAAUAUCAACUUACAUACAGCCAAGCUUACCCCACAUUUGACACCAACACCACAAUCCAGAUCUCAUUUUGCAAGGAAAAAAAAUGAUCCAGCAGGAUGUUCCCUGAGGAUGUCCUGGCAUCCCCCUAUCAGGAGGAGCAGGCUGUGGCCACACCACCUCUGACAACAGCUGGAUCUCUGAAGUGCACUGUUUUGCUGGAUGAUUUUGGUAAGGAAGCCAUGGGGAAGCCAGAGGACCGCUGGGAUUGACCAAAAUGAACAAACAAAAAAGCAGCAGCUCAGGCAACUUUGCAAGGGCAGACCCAGUUCUCGUGACUUCCUACAUGUGUUAGUGCUUUCACAUGGCAUUCUCUAUAAAACAAUUGACCUGGAGCUCGUGUCCCUGUCAUGGCCAUAUCUGUCCUGUGUACAUGCUUUUUUUGCAGUAUUCAUGCAGCUGGGUCCAAGAGGAGAGAAAUAAGGUUCACCCCAUUCACCUGUUAUUCAAAAGGACGUUGACCUCCCAGUCAGAUAAAUGAUUGAAAUGUUUCUGUCUAGUGCCCUUGAAAAUUGUUUGAGGAAAAUAAAGAGCAAAAUGUUGUA